rnacentral:rRNA from 1 species
GGUCAAGCGAAUAAGCGCACACGGUGGAUGCCUUGGCGGUCAGAGGCGAUGAAGGACGUGGCAGCCUGCGAAAAGUAUCGGGGAGCUGGCAACAAGCUUUGAUCCGGUAAUGUCCGAAUGGGGAAACCCACCCGCUUGCGGGUAUCCUGCAGUGAAUACAUAGCUGCUGGAAGCGAACCUGGUGAACUGAAAUAUCUAAGUAACCAGAGGAAAAGAAAUCAACCGAGAUUCCGUAAGUAGCGACGAGCGAACGCGGACUAGCCCUUAAGCUGAUUUGGUUCUAGGAAAACGCUCUGGAAAGAGCGGCCAUAGAAGGUGAUAGCCCUGUAUCUGAAAGGGCCAUUUCAGUGAAGACGAGUAGGGCGGGGCACGUGAAACCCUGUCUGAACAUGGGGGGACCAUCCUCCAAGGCUAAAUACUACUGACCGACCGAUAGUGAACCAGUACCGUGAGGGAAAGGCGAAAAGAACCCCGGAGAGGGGAGUGAAAUAGAACCUGAAACCGUGUGCGUACAAGCAGUAGGAGCUCCGCAAGGAGUGACUGCGUACCUUUUGUAUAAUGGGUCAGCGACUUACUGUUCGUGGCAAGCUUAACCGUAUAGGGGAGGCGAAGGGAAACCGAGUCUGAUAAGGGCGCAUAGUCGCGGGCAGUAGACCCGAAACCGGGUGAUCUAGUCAUGCCCAGGGUGAAGGUGCGGUAACACGCACUGGAGGCCCGAACCCACUCCCGUUGCAAAGGUAGGGGAUGAGGUGUGAUUAGGAGUGAAAAGCUAAUCGAACCCGGAGAUAGCUGGUUCUCCUCGAAAGCUAUUUAGGUAGCGCCUCAUAUGUAUCCUCUCGGGGGUAGAGCACUGUUAUGGCUAGGGGGUCAUCGCGACUUACCAAACCAUUGCAAACUCCGAAUACCGAGACGGACUGUAUGGGAGACACACGGCGGGUGCUAACGUCCGUCGUGAAAAGGGAAACAACCCAGACCCACAGCUAAGGUCCCAAAUUCACUGCUAAGUGGAAAACCAUGUGGAAAGGCACAGACAGCCAGGAGGUUGGCUUAGAAGCAGCCACCCUUUAAAGAAAGCGUAAUAGCUCACUGGUCGAGUCGGUCUGCGGGGAAGAUUUAACGGGGCUAAGCAGUGAACCGAAGCUUGGGGUGCAUAACUUUGUUAUGCGCGGUAGAGGAGCGUUCCGUAAGCCGUUGAAGGUGGAUUGAGAAGUCUGCUGGAGGUAUCGGAAGUGCGAAUGCUGACAUGAGUAACGAUAAUGCGGGUGAAAAACCCGCACGCCGAAAGCCCAAGGUUUCCUUGCGCAACGUUAAUCGGCGCAGGGUGAGUCGGCCCCUAAGGCGAGGACGAAAGUCGUAGUCGAUGGGAAGCAGGUUAAUAUUCCUGCACCUCGCGUAAGUGCGAUGGAGGGACGGAGAAGGUUAGGUGUACCAGGCGUUGGUUGUCCUGGGGAAAGGCGGUAGGUUUGGAUCUUUGGCAAAUCCGGGAUCCUUUAAGACCGAGCACCGAGACGAGCCUUUAUGGCGAAGUCACUGAUACCACGCUUCCAGGAAAAGCUCCUAAGCUUCAGCUUACGCAGACCGUACCGUAAACCGACACAGGUGGGUAGGAUGAGAAUUCUCAGGCGCUUGAGAGAACUCGGGUGAAGGAACUAGGCAACAUGGCACCGUAACUUCGGGAGAAGGUGCACCCUUUUUGGUGGCUCGUGCGAGCUAUAGCUGAAGAGGGUCGCAGUAACCAGGCCGCUGCGACUGUUUAUCAAAAACACAGCACUCUGCAAACACGAAAGUGGACGUAUAGGGUGUGACGCCUGCCCGGUGCUGGAAGGUUAAUUGAUGGGGUCAGCCGCAAGGCGAAGCUCUUGAUCGAAGCCCCAGUAAACGGCGGCCGUAACUAUAACGGUCCUAAGGUAGCGAAAUUCCUUGUCGGGUAAGUUCCGACCUGCACGAAUGGCGUAACGACAGCGGCGCUGUCUCCACCCGAGACUCAGUGAAAUUGAAAUCGCUGUGAAGAUGCAGCGUUCCCGUGGCAAGACGGAAAGACCCCGUGAACCUUUACUAUAGCUUUACACUGAACGUUGAGUUCGUCUGUGUAGGAUAGGUGGGAGGCUAUGAAACCAUGGCGCUAGCUGUGGCGGAGCCAUCCUUGAAAUACCACCCUGUCGUGCUUGACGUUCUAACCUGGGCCCAUUAUCUGGGUCGGGGACCGUGUAUGGUGGGUAGUUUGACUGGGGCGGUCUCCUCCUAAAGAGUAACGGAGGAGCUCGAAGGUACGCUCAGCGCGGUCGGACAUCGCGCACUGUGUGCAAAGGCAUAAGCGUGCUUGACUGCAAGAUCGACGGAUCAAGCAGGUAGGAAACUAGGACUUAGUGAUCCGGUGGUUCUGUAUGGAAGGGCCAUCGCUCAACGGAUAAAAGGUACUCCGGGGAUAACAGGCUGAUACCGCCCAAGAGUUCAUAUCGACGGCGGUGUUUGGCACCUCGAUGUCGGCUCAUCACAUCCUGGGGCUGUAGUCGGUCCCAAGGGUAUGGCUGUUCGCCAUUUAAAGUGGUACGCGAGCUGGGUUCAGAACGUCGUGAGACAGUUCGGUCCCUAUCUGCCAUGGGCGUUGGAGAUUUGAGAGGGGCUGCUCCUAGUACGAGAGGACCGGAGUGGACGAACCUCUGGUGUUCCGGUUGUCACGCCAGUGGCAUUGCCGGGUAGCUAUGUUCGGAAGCGAUAACCGCUGAAAGCAUCUAAGCGGGAAGCGCGCCUCAAGAUGAGAUCUCCCGGGGCACAAGCCCCCUGAAGGAACCAUGUAGACUACGUGGUUGAUAGGUCAGGUGUGUAAGUACAGCAAUGUAUUGAGCUAACUGAUACUAAUGAUCCGAGAGGCUUGACCAU